rnacentral:rRNA from 1 species
CCUACGGGAGGCAGCAGUGGGGAAUAUUGGACAAUGGGCGAAAGCCUGAUCCAGCAAUGCCGCGUGAGUGAUGAAGGCCUUAGGGUUGUAAAGCUCUUUUACCCGGGAUGAUAAUGACAGUACCGGGAGAAUAAGCUCCGGCUAACUCCGUGCCAGCAGCCGCGGUAAUACGGAGGGAGCUAGCGUUAUUCGGAAUUACUGGGCGUAAAGCGCACGUAGGCGGCUUUGUAAGUAAGAGGUGAAAGCCUGGUGCUCGAACACCAGAACUGCCUUUUAGACUGCAUCGCUUGAAUCCAGGAGAGGUGAGUGGAAUUCCGAGUGUAGAGGUGAAAUUCGUAGAUAUUCGGAAGAACACCAGUGGCGAAGGCGGCUCACUGGACUGGUAUUGACGCUGAGGUGCGAAAGCGUGGGGAGCAAACAGGAUUAGAUACCCGUGGUAGUCCACGCCGUAAACGAUCGAUAACUAGCUGUCGGGGCUCUUAGAGCUUCGGUGGCGCAGCUAACGCAUUAAGUUAUCCGCCUGGGGAGUACGGCCGACAAGGUUAAAACUCGAAAUGAAUUGACGG